CUGCGAAUCUGUUCGGAAGGCUUUCUUUAUCGGUGUUAUUGUACCGUAAAAUCAGAGGCGUUCGAAUGUGAGUUCACGAGACUUCAACGAUAUUUUCUUAGUUCCUGUCAUUUUUCGAGAGGAAGUGGGUGCAGGUUGGAUUAAAUUAUCAAAAAGUAUUUACAUCAACAAAGAACUACUGUGUAUUAAUUAUAUUGGACCCUCCUACAUGCAUGUAGCUGUUAUAAGGGGUAGAAAAGUAUUAAUUGUUAACGUCUAUUUUCCAUCUGCUUUUUACAUAUACUGGUAAUCUUGUAUAUACAUAAAGAUGCAGAACACUAUGAAUUGUGAGUACUCUAAGAGCUAUUAUGAAAACUGAAAUGUAAGCACUCUAUUGAAUUUCUCUUGUACAUCUAUUCAUGUACAUUAUGAUAUAACAUAUGCUUUGUUUAUUUUAAUUGAUACUGAACAAAGUUGUCAUCAUGUAAUCUAUAAGAUACUCUAGCUCUGAUAUAUAACAUUAGUUGUCAUUAGCAUUGAAUCCUAUCAAUUAAUUCAUUGAACGAUGUUCCAGUAUGGGUCAUUAGAAUACAUAAUGUAAUACAAAAUGCAAUUAGUGAUACAUAUGUCUCUCUUAUUUAUUUCAUAAGUAUGCAAGAUUUGUCUCUUGAUAUAAAUGAAUCAUGUUGCAGAAAUGAUGCAUAUAAGCAUUCAUUCAUGAAUGAUAAAAUUUCAUUUUCAUAUGCAUAUUUAGAAUAUGCUACAUUUACAUGGGAUUUUAUGUCCUUGUUGCUCUGGAUGCUAUGCUUGACAGUGUUUGAUAUGGUAAAUAUAUUUUAAGAAUGUCAAUGAAAAGAAAAUUGAGUUUUGAUUAUAAUGAAAACUUGAUCAGUGGAAAUAAAAUAGCAAAGACAUCACAGGGAAACCAAACUAUUUUAAUAGGAGCCUCAAAAGGGUUGCAGGUAAAUCUUAGAAAUGAAUGUUUGACAAAGUCUGCUCAGACUCGAUGGGUUUCAUCUUCAAAAUCCAUACAAUGUUCACCGUUGCAAGCCACAAUAUCAGUUCAGACUUCUAAUGUUUCAAGGAACAUUGGUAGUCAAACUGGAGAGACUGAAACUGGUCAUGACAAGAAUGUUUUAAAACUGUUAAAUAUCUUCAAUACCAAAACAUCUUCAAACAAAAAGAAGUUAUUAGAUACUUUGCUUAUUGUAUGUGAAGCAUUUGACAAAGUUCAAGAUUCU